CAGAAGCUAAGCAGAUGUCGGUGCCAUGCUUCCUAGACUUCUAAGCCUUCAGAACCAUGAGCUAAAUAAGCCUCUUUUCUUCAUAAAUUACUCAGCCUCAGGUAUUCUGUUACAGCAACAGAAAACACUAAGACGCUGUGCCAAUGCGCGAGUCCACGGCUCUUCACGGGACCUGGCAUGGGACGCACUGGCUCAGGGGCUCCAAGGCCACUCAGCUCUUCCUCAGCACAGUUUGGCUCAUCUCUCUGCUGACCAGCUUCCUACGCUUAGGGUUUCCAGUCCCCAAGACUUCCGUCCGUAAUGGACAUAAUGGUCUAUAAUGGCACCCAGCCCUAGUCCUCCUCCUGGACCAAUCAGUGCAGCCCCCAUAGCCACCAGGUCCAUCCCUCAGGUUCUAGAUUCCAAAUUCCAAAGAUGAGAAUCUGACCAGUCCCAGCUCUUUUGCCAGGGCACACGUUUCCAAGGGCAUGGGCCAGCCACUGGACAGGCCCUCUUCGGGUGAGCGAUGGCAAAAUAUAGGGUCCCUCCUAAGAACAGUCAUUAGGAGAGCAGCAGCUGUGAGGGCUGAUUAGCCUAGAAGGGAACAUUGGAUGUGUCAGCCAAUCCUCUAGCACAACAGAAUUAACAUAAAACAAGCAUUUUGGAUGAGGGAUACUCAACCUGCACUGUUACUCACUGGAGAGCGUCUGAGUGACCCACAGACUCACACCCCUUCUUACCCACCUCAUCUGCGGGGAGGCGGACCAGGACAUGUAGAGCAAGAUGAGGAAGAGCAGCACCACGAAGGCAGCCAGGCUCACCCAGAAUGCGAUCACGAUGGAAUCUGCGGGAGGAGGAGAUGCAUCUCAGCGCUGGGUUAUGUCAACAUAAAGCAACGCUGAGGGGCAGUAAGGAGUCCCAGGGUAUUGUGGAAUGAGGGCCCUGAGUUUCGGUUGUCCUCCAGCCUCUCAGCUGUUACCAUGGGGAAGAUCUCCCAUUAACAAUAACUUUGGGAAAGAA
rnacentral:lncRNA from 1 species